GGUCUAUCCGUUGCUCUGAUUGGUUGUAGGUCUAUCCGUUGCUCUGAUUGGUUGUAGGUCUAUCCAAUUGAGUGCAGAGGCAUUUUCUUUGCUGGUUCGGUUGAAACACGCCCCAUAAUCACAGCCCAAUGGAGCAGCAUCAGACUCAGAUUCUGACUAGAAUCUGACAAUGACGAU